UGCCGUGAUGAUUGCUUACUUCUGACACCUCUUGUACGAGAGGCGCCUCGAUGCGCUUCGCUGAGCAGAUUGCAGCUAUAAUGUCUGAGCA